GUUAAACCAAAAAUUAUUGUAAAAGCAGCAUUUUUUUCGGUAAGUCUUCUACAAAGGUGCAGACUCAGAGCAGAUUCCUCAGUUGGAUUAGGCUCCUUGACAAAACAAACAGUUAACUCUUCUUCAUAGUUCAAACUACCCAGGCUGCUCCAGUGACAAGAGGUAUAGCUUUGACAAAACUAAGAUAUGAUCUUGACUGCAUGAAACUGCCAUAUGCCUGAUUUCCCCCUAUUACACAUGUCAUGAAGGCAAGAAUCCAGCUUGGAGUCAGUGGUUGGUGGUUAUUCAGCUUUGCAUUCAGCCUAAUCCUUUCUGCUGGGUUAUGGCAUUGCAUGGAACUUCUUUCAGGUUAUUGUACCUCAGUUCCUUUAAUUGCUGUUGAACCUUGUUUGGUGCUAUGGAAUGGAAUGGAAUACAGUGGGCAAUGAAGCAAGGUAAGUUUGGUGGUACUUUGCAAACAGGGCAGUCAUUUCAGCCAC
rnacentral:lncRNA from 1 species